UACGUAGGGUGCAAGCGUUGUCCGGAAUUACUGGGUUUAAAGGGUGCGUAGGCGGAAUAUUAAGUCAGUGGUGAAAGCUGGUAGCUCAACUAUCAAAUUGCCAUUGAAACUGAUAUUCUCGAGUACGGUUGAGGUAGCUGGAAUGUAACAUGUAGCGGUGAAAUGCUUAGAUAUGUUACAGAACACCAAUUGCGAAGGCAGGCUACUAAACCGUAACUGACGCUGAUGCACGAAAGCGUGGGGAUCAAACAGG
rnacentral:rRNA from 1 species